UCAUGAAUAAAGCAUGAUAAUGUGGACAUAAAUUGAUUUGGGUCUCUAGACUCGCCAUUUCUGAUGCCUUUCGGCUUUGAUGUGAGGGCUUAGUUUUGCAAAAUGUUC